rnacentral:rRNA from 1 species
UACGGAGGGUGCAAGCGUUAAUCGGAAUUACUGGGCGUAAAGCGCGCGUAGGCGGUUUUUUAAGUCGGACGUGAAAGCCCCGGGCUCAACCUGGGAACUGCAUCCGAUACUGGAAGACUAGAAUGCGGGAGAGGGAGGUAGAAUUCCAUGUGUAGCAGUGAAAUGCGUAGAUAUAUGGAGGAAUACCAGUGCGAAGGCGGCCUCCUGGCUCGACAUUGACGCUGAGGUGCGAAAGCGUGGGGAGCAAACGGG